UGUUCUGUGGCUUAGUUGGUUAAAGCGCCGGUCUUACAAAUACAGAGUCGUGGGUUCAAAUCCCACCUGAACGU
rfam:Aedes albopictus isolate Foshan contig114340, whole genome shotgun sequence.